CCGGGGACAGAAACUCACCUUCUUCCAGUGAUGAGAGCUGAGAUCCUUGCAGAAGCACCUGAGUCCAGGAGCUGGGUCUUUGAGAGGACAUGGUGUAUUAGACUCGGGGAUAAAGGCAGAGGUCUGGGAAGGAUUUCUAGAUAAUGCUGCAGAGGCAGCAGAAGCAUUUACCAAGGCUAGAAGCUGGGGAGAAGACUUAAAAAAGACUCCAAAAUGAAUCCCAAGCCCCUUUGGCUCCAACAAUACAAAGCGAGAGUUAACUCGCAGCUGAAGGAGAAACCGGAGGCAUCUGGGAUGUCAGCCCAGGAGAGAAAUCACCCCCCUUUACCGUGACCCGCACACACACAGGGCUGUGGACGGCUGGCGAGGAGAAGGGAAGUAUUUUCACCUGGGGACAUCUAAGUAAAGCUUCCCCCAGAAAUGGAGCGUGGCUUUCUAGGAAAGCUCUUCCGCAAGCUGCUGGCAUCCUGUACCAUUAGCUCGACCUGGCUGGAGUCCCACGAGGCCAACGCGCUGCUGCUCCUGGCGCAGGUCAGAUGUCAUGAUCGUGAGUGUCUGACCCACGGGGAUCAGCAACAUUGCUUUAAACUCAACAGCCUCUUUACAAAAGUCCCCAAACCAUCAUCACACAUCCCAGCUAAUUGCAGAUGGCAAAUGAAACAGUCAGGAGCAAAUACCAGCGGGAUGGUGCCUUCCUGCCUCGACUUCGACUGAUGAGAUGCUUGUUACACGUCCCCAGGCUUCCAUGAUGGGUUGUCUUGUGUCUCUAAUCAGGGCUAAGACUAGCGCUGGGGAACUGGCAGGAACCUGCCACGGCCCAGGUCAGACUGGAGGGGCAGCAUGCAGGCAGGGAGGUAGCUCCAAAGAUGUCAAUGUGCAUUUUCAGAUGCGAUCAACCUGGCGACACGGAGAUUUUGGGCGCCGUUUUGUGACGUGCAUCUAAACAAUGCAUAAUGUGUACAAGUGCCCAUAGGGUCACCUGAGCUGGGUGCUAGGAGCUGUGCAUUCCUAUCUGCAGUGCAGCUAACACCAGCUUUAUUCAGCCCACAGCCUGACCUGCCAUUGCGCCUCUACAUGGGUAGGUGAUGAUCUCUUUAUGUAAUGAUAUGUGCCCCUGUAAAGCUGGGGCUUAUGACACUCCAAUUUUGUUCAACCCAGCAUUUCAGUGAAGUGUCACCUGCCCCCAGUCUGC
rnacentral:lncRNA from 1 species